rnacentral:lncRNA from 1 species
UCCUCGACACCACGCAUACAUGCAGUGCAAAUCCACUCAAUUAUCCGUGAUAAAUUGUAUUUCAGCCAAUUACAAGGCGUAAUCUCCGGAUAUGCAGCACAUUGCAACGAAUUAGAACCCCAUCUACAAAAUCAAAGAAUCUACUUUUUGGACCAAUUUUAUCAGAAAAUACUUGCAAACAAUCGUCUUUGAAUUCAUAACCGUCACGUGAUCUCAAAAGAUAUCUCCAGCUCUUCGCUAAAAGUGCUGGUCGCAAUUGCAUCUUCCCAGUUUUCAGUUUCUUAUUAAAAUCAUCCCCCAAACUAUCCCCCAUUUGAGCUUCUUUCCAAUAUUCUCUACUUAAGAGACAAGUUGAGACUUGUGUUGGGGUAACCUCAAGUUAUUCUUCUUUAUACAUAAACACAACAAAAUAACAAUAAAG